UACGUAGGGUGCAAGCGUUGUCCGGAAUUAUUGGGCGUAAAGAGCUUGUAGGCGGUUUGUCGCGUCUGUUGUGAAAUUUCGGGGCUCAACCCCGAACUUGCAGUGGGUACGGGCAGACUAGAGUGUGGUAGGGGAGACUGGAAUUCCUGGUGUAGCGGUGAAAUGCGCAGAUAUCAGGAGGAACACCGAUGGCGAAGGCAGGUCUCUGGGCCAUAACUGACGCUGAGAAGCGAAAGCAUGGGGAGCGAACAGG
rnacentral:rRNA from 1 species